GGGCGAUUAGCUCAGCUUGGCUAGAGCGCUUGCUCGACACGCAAGAGGUCACCUGUUCAAGUCAGGUAUCGCCCA
rnacentral:tRNA from 1 species